UCCAUUUUCCUAGUUACAUCCCCAAAGAUCUUGGACCGAUCCUGAUACUGCUAUCCAAAUGUGCCGCUAUUUCAUCUUUUAUAGUCAGAGUGAAGCUAUUGUGGGGGUGGGGAUCAGGGAGGGGAGGUGAGGGUGCGGGCGGUUGGAAUGUUGGGGGGUGGAACCGUGACACAAACUAACACUCUAGAAUGUAGCAUUUUGAACGAUGCAGCCAAUGGGCAGCGGCGUCGGGGGCGGGACAUAGAAACAGACACAGACACAGACAGACGGUGUUGGAGGAGGUCGUGUCUGGUGUCUGCUCUGCUCAGCUCAGCUCAGCUCAGCCAUACUCUACCCUACCCCACCUUACCCUACCCUCAUCUACCAUCAUCUACGAUUAUCUACUAUACUAUACUCUAGGUGCGGCGAGGACAGGCGGUGACCAGAAGGGGAGUAGUUGAAGUGGCCACGCUCCCACUCCUUGUUCCUGGAGCCACGGGGAAGCUUCUGCCGCUCGGACCCCGCAGGGACCAUCACUCGAAAAAGCUUUGCCCCUGGUGUACUGGUGGUUGGGCACAGCCUGGUACCAGUUAACAACGGCUAUCUCCUUGAUCGAUGUCUUUACUCCUUUCAGGUACGUGAUCAGGGGAUCCACAGACUCCCUUCCUCCACCUGGUCAACUGAAGCAGAGUCACCCAUCCCUGCUGCCUCCUCCAUCUCCUCCCCACCUCUGUACUGAACACACCCUCCCACAGGACACCCAGUCACACUGAACCCCUGAUAAACUCACCACAGAACAGCCCACACUCACUGCUACAGGUAAACUCGCCGUAGAACAGCCCAUUCUCACUGUACCCAACAAUGCCUUACAACGCUUACAGCGGCAGAGACCCAGAUUCCAUCCUGACUACGGGCGGUGUGGGGAAGGUUCGUGGACAGAAUAGGCAGAUGCAAGGCAGAGAACGAGGAAGGAGGGUAAGUUUAAACUGCACAUAAAGGGGCCUGACGGGUAAGGCAGAUGAGCUUAGGGUAGAUACGAGUGGAUAGAUACGAGUGACUGGGACGUUGUAGCCAUGAAUGAAACCUGGUUAAGGGAGGGGCAGGACUGGCAGCUCAAUGUUUUGGGCUACGGGAGCUUCAGGAAAGACAGGGGUGAGGGGAAAAGAGGAGGGGGGGUUGCAUUGUUGGUUGAUGAGGAUGUCACGGCAGUGUUCAGAGGUGACAUUACAGACGGAUCGUCUAGUGAGGCUAUAUGGGUGGAAUUGAGGAACAAGAAAGGGAUGAUCACCUUGUUGGGGGGGUACUACAGACCCCCAAAUAAUCAACGGGAAUUAGAAGAACAAAUGUACCGGGAGAUUGCAGACAGCUGCAGGUCAAAUAGGUUGUUGUAGAAGUGGAUUUUAACUUUCACAAUAUAGACUGGGAAAAUCAUAGCGUGAAGGAUUUAAAUGGGGUGCAAUUCCUCGAAAGUGUUCAGGAGAGUUUUCUUAAGCAGUAUGUGGAGACCCCCACAUGUGAGAGGGCAACACUGGAUCUAGCAUUAGGAAAUUGGGAAAGGCAAGUUAAUGUAGUGUGUGUGGAGGAGCCUUUUGGGUCCAGUGACCACAGUUCGAUUAGGUUUAAGAUAGUUAUGUAUGGGGACGGAGAGGGUCCACGUGUUAAAAUGCACAACUGGGUUAAGGCCAACUUUGAGGGCAUGAGAGAAAAUCUUGCUCAAGUUGACUGGAGCAUGUUAUUUGAGGGGAAAAGUGGAAUGUUUUAAGUGUGCUGACGAAAGCUCAGGAUAUGUAUGUCCCCGUAUAGAGUGAAGGGCAAAGCAAGCAAACGUAAGGAAGCUUGGCUGACGAGGGAAAUUGAG